rnacentral:rRNA from 1 species
CCUACGGGCGGCAGCAGUGAGGAAUAUUGGUCAAUGGGCGCGAGCCUGAACCAGCCAAGUCGCGUGAGGGAUGACGGUCCUAUGGAUUGUAAACCUCUUUUGUCGGGGAGCAAAAGACGCCACGCGUGGCGUUCCGAGUGUACCCGAAGAAAAAGCAUCGGCUAACUCCGUGCCAGCAGCCGCGGUAAUACGGAGGAUGCGAGCGUUAUCCGGAUUUAUUGGGUUUAAAGGGGGCGCAGGCGGAAGAUCAAGUCAGUGGUAAAAUUGAGAGGCUCAACCUCGUCGAGCCGUUGAAACUGGUUGUCUUGAGUGAGUGAGAAGUAGGCGGAAUGCGUGGUGUAGCGGUGAAAUGCAUAGAUAGCACGAAGAACUCCGAUUGCGAAGGCAGCAUACUGGUGCUCAACUGACGCUGAUGCACGAAAGUGUGGGUAUCGAACAGGAUUAGAUACCCUUGUAGUC